AACGCGAAGAACCUUACCUGGGCUCGAACGGCUUCCUAACGCCGGUGGAAACAGAGACUUCCCGCAAGGGACUGGAGUCGAGGUGCUGCAUGGCUGUCGUCAGCUCGUGUCGUGAGAUGUUGGGUUAAGUCCCGCAACGAGCGCAACCCUUGUCCUGUGUUGGCAUGCCGCAAGGCGCAACUCGCAGGAGACCGCCAGCGAUAAGUUGGAGGAAGGUGGGGAUGACGUCAAGUCAUCAUGGCCUUUAUGUCCAGGGCCACACACGUGCUACAAUGGGCGGUACAAAGCGCUGCCAACCCGCGAGGGGGAGCUAAUCGCCAAAAACCGUCCUCAGUUCGGAUUGCAGGCUGCAACUCGCCUGCAUGAAGCUGGAAUCGCUAGUAAUGCUAUAUCAGAACGAUAGCGUGAAUACGUUCCCGGGCCUUGUACACACCGUAGAGAC
rnacentral:rRNA from 1 species